rnacentral:lncRNA from 12 species
UCUAGGGUGGAAAGUGAUAUACAGGAUCAUUUAAAGUACUGAGAGAAGAUCUUAGGAUGAUGGAGUUCUCUGAAGAGGUAUCUGUGCAAAAAGAACAAUAUGGAAAGAAAUUGUUCGUUUGUUAAUAACUAUAUGAAGACCCAAUGACAUUCACUGAACUUUGAGUUUCUCUGGCUUUUGAUGUUGAGUAUGAGCUGAAGUCGGAAACCCAGAAGGCAACCUAUCCAGCCAGAAGAAAUCUAAAAAUUUUGGCCAGUUUUUCAUUACAAGGUGCCACUGGGAUGUAGUAGGAUUUAGCAACAUUAUAGUCACCACCAUCACCAUGAUAAUUGUUUCCAAAAUAAGGGAUGAAACCAUUUGACUUGUUUAAUUUCAGUAAGUAUUAAGAAUCUAUAGUUUCCCACAUAAACAAUGAAUUAUUUUAAAUUUCAGAUUAAUUAGAAAACAUUUUUAUGAAUACAUCAGACCCAC